rnacentral:snRNA from 1 species
CAGAGGCCUCACUGGCUAUGAUCUGAUUGACAGACUGGACUCCACCCCUUCACACAUAAUCCUCUCAAAUUGGCAAUUAUAUAACUACCACAGCCUCUGUGAAACUGCACAUCCUAGGUUGAAGAGAAGACCUUUCUCUGAUAGAAGGAGGGCCAUUCUUUGGUCAAGGGUAUAUGAGUAGCUGAGCUCCCCUGCUAGAAUGUCUAAAAAGGCUCUCAAGAUCCUAGAAUAUAGAUUAUUUAUAUUAUUAUUUUGGAUGAAACUCAAGUUACAGUGUUUCUCUUC